rnacentral:rRNA from 1 species
GUGGGGAAUCUUCCGCAAUGGACGAAAGUCUGACGGAGCGACGCCGCGUGAGUGAAGAAGGCCUUCGGGUCGUAAAGCUCUGUCAUCAGGGACGAACGGCCGGUGGAGUGGAAAGCCACCGGAUUGACGGUACCUGAGAAGGAAGCCACGGCUAACUACGUGCCAGCAGCCGCGGUAAUACGUAGGUGGCAAGCGUUGUCCGGAAUUAUUGGGCGUAAAGCGCGCGCAGGUGGGAUCUUAAGUCCAUUUUUAAAGUUCGGAGCUCAACUCCGUGAUGGGAUGGAAACUGGGAUUCUUGAGUACCGGAGAGGAAAGCGGAAUUCCCCGUGUAGCGGUGAAAUGCGUAGAUAUGGGGAGGAACACCAGUGGCGAAGGCGGCUUUCUGGACGGUGUCUGACACUGAGGCGAAAGCUAGGGGAGCGAACGGGAUUAGAUACCCCAGUAGUCC